rnacentral:misc_RNA from 1 species
AGCGAACUCAACAACAAAUCCAUGCUGACCUCGUCGGAGGUGAUGGCCGAGUAUCUCAUCGGAGCGGCCGUUGCCUCCCUUCUAGGGUUUCUCCUCCUCUUCAAAUUCCAACGCAAACCGAGCGGGAGCUCCGCCGGAGCCCCGCACUCCGCCGGCCAGGAAUGCCGCUGCGAUCCCCCCGCCAGCGGAGACACCGAUGUCAUCGUCGUCGGCGCCGGCGUCGCCGGCUCCGCCCUUGCCUACACCCUUGGAAAGGAUGGGCGCCGUGUUCGCUUGAUUGAAAGAGACCUCACUGAGCCCGAUCGUAUUGUCGGCGAGCUUCUGCAGCCCGGGGGAUACCUCAAAUUGAUAGAGUUGGGGCUUGAGGAUUGUGUGGGGGAGAUUGAUGCACAACGGGUUCUCGGAUAUGCUCUUUUUAAAGAUGGAAAGAAUACCAAGCUUUCGUAUCCGUUAGAGAAGUAUGAUUCUGAUGUUUCCGGGAGGAGCUUUCAUAACGGACGAUUUGUGCAGAAGAUGCGGGAGAAAGCUGCUUCUCUGCCCAAUGUCAAGUUGGAGCAGGGAACUGUAACUUCCUUGGUUGAAGAAAAUGGAACUGUUAAGGGGGUACUCUACAAAAACAAAGUAGGCGAGGAGCUAAAAGCUUAUGCACCUCUUACGAUUGUAUGUGAUGGCUGUUUCUCGAAUCUUCGACGCUCUCUCUGCUCUCCACAGGUGGAUGUGCCAUCUUGUUUCGUUGGUUUGGUCCUCGAGAACUGUCAACUUCCAUACCCGAACCAUGGGCAUGUUAUCUUAGCUGAUCCCUCGCCCAUUCUGUUCUACCCCAUUAGUAGCACAGAGGUUCGUUGUUUGGUUGAUGUGCCCGGACAGAAAGUACCUUCCAUCUCUAACGGUGAAAUGGCGAAUUAUCUGAAGACUGUCGUCGCACCUCAGCUUCCAAUUGAGUUGCAUGAUUCGUUUGUAUCGGCGAUUGAUCGGGGAAGUAUAAGAACUAUGCCAAAUAAGAGCAUGCCGGCUGCUCCACAUCCCACUCCUGGAGCUCUCUUAUUGGGGGAUGCAUUUAACAUGCGUCAUCCAUUAACUGGUGGGGGUAUGACUGUCGCCCUGGCUGACAUUGUUGUUCUACGGAAUCUUCUGAAGCCUCUGCGCAAUCUGCACGAUGCACCGGCUCUAUGCAAAUAUCUGGAGUCCUUCUAUACUCUGCGUAAGCCGGUUUCCUCUACGAUAAACACCCUAGCAGGUGCCUUGUACAAGGUCUUCAGUGCCUCACCCGAUCGGGCUAGGAACGAAAUGCGCCAGGCCUGUUUUGAUUAUCUGAGCCUUGGUGGUGUCUGCUCGACUGGGCCUGUGGCGUUACUGUCUGGUCUCAACCCUCGUCCGAUGAGUCUGGUUGCGCAUUUCUUUGCGGUUGCCAUAUAUGGUGUUGGCAGGCUGCUGUUGCCGUUUCCUUCGCCCAAGCGGUUCUGGAUCGGGGCUAGACUGAUUUCGGCCGCCUCGGGAAUAAUAUUUCCCAUAAUCAAAGCAGAAGGGAUCAGGCAAGUGUUCUUCCCUGGGACUGUACCGGCAUAUUACAGAACUCCUCCAACGAAGGCUUGAAAGCCAGGGGUCUAUUAGUGUUGAUGGAUCUCAAUUAUGUAUUAUUGAACAAGGUUUACGUCCUUGUUGUGUAUGCUUACAUGGUUGUUAGCUGAUGGAUGGAUCUUGGACUUGCAUAGGAUCCAGUACUGUAAUG